AGUGUACGCUGGCGGUAGGCCUAACACAUGCAAGUCGAACGGCAGCACAGUAAGAGCUUGCUCUUACGGGUGGCGAGUGGCGGACGGGUGAGGAAUACAUCGGAAUCUACUUUUUCGUGGGGGAUAACGUAGGGAAACUUACGCUAAUACCGCAUACGACCUACGGGUGAAAGCAGGGGAUCUUCGGACCUUGCGCGAUUGAAUGAGCCGAUGUCGGAUUAGCUAGUUGGCGGGGUAAAGGCCCACCAAGGCGACGAUCCGUAGCUGGUCUGAGAGGAUGAUCAGCCACACUGGAACUGAGACACGGUCCAGACUCCUACGGGGGGCAGCAGUGGGGAAUAUUGGACAAUGGGCGCAAGCCUGAUCCAGCCAUACCGCGUGGGUGAAGAAGGCCUUCGGGUUGUAAAGCCCUUUUGUUGGGAAAGAAAAGCAGCAGGUUAAUACCCCGCUGUUCUGACGGUACCCAAAGAAUAAGCACCGGCUAACUUCGUG
rnacentral:rRNA from 1 species